rnacentral:lncRNA from 13 species
CAGAGUUCUAUCUCAGCACCAUUUCUUUGCCCCCAGUGAAACAUCUGAUGUGUGCUGGGUUUUGGUCCUCACUGGUCUUCAAGCUUCUGCAUUUGUAUUGCCCUGAAUUGCACUUACUCUUCAGCUGUGGCUUUAUUUGGUUUCUGUGUCUCUAUGUUGGCACUUGCUUAUCACCUGGAUAUACUCUACUCUCUCCAGCUUUGGACUUCUUCAAAAACCAGCUGGGGAAUGGAGCCAGGGAUGAGGACAGAAUGCUCCCAAGGAAAUCUGGAUGA